rnacentral:rRNA from 1 species
CGAGCGCCCGCAAGGGGAGCGGCAGACGGGUGAGUAACGCGUGGGAACGUACCUUUUGCUACGGAAUAACUCAGGGAAACUUGUGCUAAUACCGUAUGUGCCCUUCGGGGAAAGAUUUAUCGGCAAAGGAUCGGCCCGCGUUGGAUUAGCUAGUUGGUGAGGUAAAGGCUCACCAAGGCGACGAUCCAUAGCUGGUCUGAGAGGAUGAUCAGCCACACUGGGACUGAGACACGGCCCAAACUCCUACGGGAGGCAGCAGCU